GGAGUAAUACUCAAGAGGUCGAAGAGGCGCCCCUGCUAAGGGCGUAGGGUGCGAAAGUGCCGCGAGAGUUCAAAUCUCUCUUACUCCGCCA
rnacentral:tRNA from 1 species